CCUGUAAUCCCAGCACUUUGGGAGGAUGAGGAGGGUGGAUCACGAGGUGAGGAGAUCAAAAUCAUUCUGGCUAACACAGUGAAACCUGUGUCUAC